rnacentral:RNase_P_RNA from 2 species
UGAGUCGGCCAGGCGGCCGCGUCGGGAGCUUGCUUCCGCCGAGGAACGUCCGGGCUCCGUAGAGCAGGGUGGUGGCUAACGGCCACCCGGGGUGACCCGCGGGACAGUGCCACAGAAAACAAACCGCCUGCGUUCUGCGCAGGUAAGGGUGAAACGGUGGUGUAAGAGACCACCAGCGCUCCAGGUGACUGGAGCGGCUAGGUAAACCCCACCCGGAGCAAGGCCAGACAGCAUGCGCCUGAGGGCUGCUCGCCCGAGCAUGCGGGUAGGCCGCUUGAGGCGACUGGCAACAGUCGUCCUAGAUGGAUGGUCGCCCAACGACAGGACCCGGCGUAUCGGCCGACUCAUCCG